UUUCAUGGUAGGCUACUUUUAUUUCAUAAUGCCACUUUUCAUUUCCAGAGUCUUUUAUUUCAUAAUGCCACUUUUCAUUUCCAGAGACUUAUUUCAUAAUGCCGUUUUACAUUUCACGUUCUUAUAUGCAAAUCAGGGGGCGUGGCUACAUCUAACAUUCAGAACAGACAACAGAGCCGUGUGCAAAAGAAGGCUGGCUAAGGGACGUGAGAUUAGCGCUGGUACUACAAGCACAGGUGCUGGACGCCCGCCUCUGGAUAUUCCUUGAUAUUGGAUUUCUCGGGUUGAUAGACCGGACAACACAAAGUUAGCCAGCUUGUCGCCAGGAAUAUCCAGAGGCAGGCGUCCAGCACCUGUGCUUGUAGUACCAGCGCUGAUGUUGACUUCUUCAACUUGGACCUCUUCCACACGCACGCGGUGCUCAAUCAGUCUUAAACAAUUUAAAACUUCGUCGUCUAUGUAUACAUCUUGAAGAGCACUUAUCCGC
ensembl:lncRNA